rnacentral:rRNA from 1 species
GCCCAGCACCGAAUCCUUCACCAUUCUGGUGACAGGAAAUGUGGUGUUUAGGCCGUACUUUGUCCUGAUACGUCUCUCCUCAAGUCCACUUGAUUGUGGCCCCCGGCCCAGAGAGGGUGUAAGGCCCGUGGAGGCGAGAUGUUCAGUACCUGGUGCGUCCUUAGAGUCGGGUUGUUUGGGAAUGCAGCCCUAAGCGGGUGGUAAACUCCAUCCAAGGCUAAAUACCAGCACGAGUCCGAUAGCGAAGAAGUACCGCGAGGGAAGGUUGAAAAGAACUUUGAAGAGAGAGUUCAAGAGUACGUGAAACCGCUGAGAGGCAAACUGGUGGAACUGAAAUGGUCCCGAGGAAUUCAGCCGUUGGUGUUUGUACAGUCGGUGGUGUCUGAUUUAACGACAGCUCCAUCGGAUGACGCUUCCAUCAUCGGUGCACUUUCCUCGUUGUGGGCCCGACCACGACCGGUGAGCUGCUCUGUCCAUCGUGCUUGGAAGGUAGCGCCGUCUUCGGAUGGCGUAUUAUAGACUUGUGCGUGGAGCAGUACGGCACACUGGACGAUAGUGCCUGCCCUUGGGCUCAUAUGGUGGCUGUUUUACUGGCGAGCUCUGAUGUCACUACUUCGGUAGAGGCGUCGGACUCUGUCUGCAUUAUGGUUGUCCUCUAUGAUUGGCACUGGUAAGUCUGUGGUUGUGAAGUAGGUAGUCCACCUGACCCGUCUUGAAACACGGACCAAGGAGUCUAACAUGUGCGCGAGUCAUUGGGUUCACGAAACCUAAAGGCGCAGUGAAGGUGAAGAUCUGUUUUGGCAGAUUGAGGUGGGAUGCUGGGUUACGCGCCCAGCCGCACUACCGGCCCGUUCUACAUGUAUCUCAUGGGGGCGGAGCAAGAGCGUACACGUUGGGACCCGAAAGAUGGUGAACUAUGCUUGCGCAGGUCGAAGCCAGAG